GAUGAACGCUGGCGGCGUGCCUAAUACAUGCAAGUCGAGCGAACAGAUCAGGAGCUUGCUCCUUUGACGUUAGCGGCGGACGGGUGAGUAACACGUGGUUAACCUACCUAUAAGACUGGGAUAACUUCGGGAAACCGGAGCUAAUACCGGAUAAUAUUUCGAACCGCAUUGUUCGAUAGUGAAAGAUGGUUUUGCUAGCACUAAUAGAUGGACCCGCGCCGUAUUAGCUAGUUGUUAAGGUAACGGCUUACCAAGGCGACGAUACAUAGCCGACCUGAGAGGAUGGGCAGACACGCUGGGACUGAGACACGGCCCGGAAUCCUACGGGAGGGAGGAGGGGGGAAUAAUGGACAAUGGGGGAAAGCCUGAUGCAGCAAUGCCGCGUGAGUGAUGAAGGCCUGAGGGUUGUAAAGCUCUUGUACCCGGGAUGAUAAUGACAGUACCGGGAGAAGAAGCUCCGGCUAACUCCGUG
rnacentral:rRNA from 1 species